rnacentral:rRNA from 1 species
AUGACGACGACGACGCGGUGGAGGGAGAAUUGGCCUUUCGGCGACGGCGAGAGGGGGAGGAGGCGAGGGAUUAGGAGGGAAGAGAUUUGGAUUUGGAGAUUAGUUAAUUGCGGGCCUCGGCGAGGCGACGGGGGUCAGUGGCCGCGCACGAGGCCACGUCGGCGCGCGCAUUUUAAAUGGAACAGGUGUCGGGGGGCGGAGCGCGGGUUGGCCAACGGGAAAGGCGCGCCUCGCCUCGCCCAAUGGGGCUCCGCCUUUCUAUAUGCUCUGCUGGCUCGGUUUGAAUAA